CCUACGGGUGGCAGCAGUGAGGAAUAUUGGUCAAUGGACGAGAGUCUGAACCAGCCAAGUAGCGUGAAGGAUGACUGCCCUAUGGGUUGUAAACUUCUUUUAUAUGGGAAUAAAAUGUUCCACGUGUGGGAUUUUGUAUGUACCAUAUGAAUAAGGAUCGGCUAACUCCGUGCCAGCAGCCGCGGUAAUACGGAGGGUCCGAGCGUUGUCCGGAUUUAUUGGGUUUAAAGGGACCGUAGGUGGGUUGUUAAGUCAGUUGUGAAAGUUUGCGGCUCAACCGGAAAAUUGCAGUUGAAACUGGCAGUCUGGAGUACAGGAGAGGUGGGCGGAAUUCGUGGUGUAGCGGUGAAAUGCUUAGAUAUCACGAAGAACUCCGAUUGCGAAGGCAGUUCACUGGACUGCAACUGACACUGAGGCUCGAAAGUGUGGGUAUCAAACAGGAUUAGAUACCCGGGUAGUC
rnacentral:rRNA from 1 species